rnacentral:rRNA from 1 species
GUAGGGAAUCUUGCGCAAUGGGCGAAAGCCUGACGCAGCCAUGCCGCGUGAAUGAUGAAGGUCUUAGGAUUGUAAAAUUCUUUCACCGGUGAAGAUAAUGACUGUAGCCGGAGAAGAAGCCCCGGCUAACUUCGUGCCAGCAGCCGCGGUAAUACGAAGGGGGCUAGCGUUGCUCGGAUUUACUGGGCGUAAAGGGCGCGUAGGCGGACAUUUAAGUCAGGGGUGAAAUCCCGGGGCUCAACCUCGGAACUGCCUUUGAUACUGGGUGUCUUGAGUAUGAGAGAGGUGUGUGGAACUCCGAGUGUAGAGGUGAAAUUCGUAGAUAUUCGGAAGAACACCAGUGGCGAAGGCGACACACUGGCUCAUUACUGACGCUGAGGCGCGAAAGCGUGGGGAGCAAACAGGAUUAGAAACCCCGGUAGUCC